CCCAACUAUCCCUAUUAAUCAUUACGGUGAUUCAGAAACCAACAAAACAGGACCACCGUCCUAUUCUAUUAUUCCAUGCUAAUGUAUUCAGACGUAAGCCUGCUUUGAACACUCUAAUUUUUUCAAGGUAAAGGUCCUGGUUUCCCACCACGCUAAAUUAAUAACAUGAUAGUUCCCCAGAAGGUAGAAAUUCUACACACCAGUACAGACUUGUUAGCCCGACCAACGGUAGAAUCCCGAAAUUCAACUACGAGCUUUUUAACUGCAACAACUUUAAUAUACGCUAUUGGAGCUGGAAUUACCGCGGCUGCUGGCACCAGACUUGCCCUCCAA
rnacentral:misc_RNA from 2 species